rnacentral:rRNA from 1 species
UGGCGAACGGGUGAGUAACACGUGAGUAACCUGCCCUUGACUUUGGGAUAACUUCAGGAAACUGGGGCUAAUACCGGAUAGGAGCUCCUGCUGCAUGGUGGGGGUUGGAAAGUUUCGGCGGUUGGGGAUGGACUCGCGGCUUAUCAGCUUGUUGGUGGGGUAGUGGCUCACCAAGGCUUUGACUGGUAGCCGGCCUGAGAGGGUGACCGGCCACAUUGGGACUGAGAUACGGCCCAG